rnacentral:rRNA from 1 species
UUGAACGCUGGCGGCAUGCCUUACACAUGCAGGUCGAACGGCAGCACGGGAGCAAUCCUGGUGGCGAGUGGCGAACGGGUGAGUAAUACAUCGGAACGUGCCCAAUCGUGGGGGAUAACGCAGCGAAAGCUGUGCUAAUACCGCAUACGAUCUACGGAUGAAAGCAGGGGACCGCAAGGCCUUGCGCGAAUGGAGCGGCCGAUGGCAGAUUAGGUAGUUGGUGGGGUAAAGGCUCACCAAGCCAACGAUCUGUAGCUGGUCUGAGAGGACGACCAGCCACACUGGGACUGAGACACGGCCCAGACUCCUACGGGAGGCAGCAGUGGGGAAUUUUGGACAAUGGGCGAAAGCCUGAUCCAGCAAUGCCGCGUGCAGGAUGAAGGCCUUCGGGUUGUAAACUGCUUUUGUAUGGAACGAAACGGUCUUUUCUAAUACAGAAGGCUAAUGACGGUACCGUAAGAAUAAGCACCGGCUAACUACGU